rnacentral:rRNA from 1 species
UACGGAGGAUCCAAGCGUUAUCCGGAUUCACUGGGUUUAAAGGGUGCGUAGGUGGAAUGACAGGUCAGUGGUGAAAACCUGCAGCUUAACUGUAGAACUGCCAUUGAUACUGUUAUUCUUGAGUACAUUUGAUGUGAGUGGAAUGUGUCGUGUAGCGGUGAAAUGCUUAGAUAUGACACAGAACACCAAUUGCGAAGGCAGCUCACAAAACUGUAACUGACACUGAGGCACGAAAGCGUGGGGAUCAAACAGG